GUUAUAUGAUCAAGUAAAGGAAGAGCACAAGGCGGAUGCCUUGGCAGCAUAAGGCGAUGAAGGACGUAAUAACCUGCGAUAAGCCUCGGGGAGCUGGUAAAUAAGCUUCGAUCCGAGGAUUUCCGAAUGGGAAAACCCAAUAUACAUAAGUAUAUUAUCUUAUACUGAAUACAUAGGUAUAAGAGGCAAACCUAGGGAACUGAAACAUCUAAGUACCUAGAGGAAAAGAAAUCAAUUGAGAUUCCGGUAGUAGCGGCGAGCGAAACCGGAUCAGCCCUUAAGCUUAUUUUAGUCCAGCAAAAUAUUCUGGAAAGUUUAGCCAUAGUAGGUGAUAGCCCUGUAUGUGAAAGACUAGUUUAAGUGAAAUCGAGUAGGUCGGGACACGUGAAAUCUUGACUGAAUAUGGGGGGACCAUCCUCCAAGGCUAAAUACUCUCUGCUAACCGAUAGUGAACCAGUACCGUGAGGGAAAGGCGAAAAGUACCCCUGCAAGGGGAGUGAAAUAGAACCUGAAACCUUGUGCUUACAAGCAGUCGGAGCUGACUUGUUCAGUGACGGCGUACCUUUUGUAUAAUGGGUCAACGACUUAAUUUCAGUAGCAAGCUUAACCAAUUAGGGUAGGCGUAGGGAAACCGAGUCUUAAUAGGGCGUUUAGUUUCUGGAAUUAGACCCGAAACCGGGUGAUCUAUCCAUGGCCAGUGUGAAGGUCGAGUAACAUCGACUGGAGGCGCGAACCCACUUAUGUUGAAAAAUGAGGGGAUGAGCUGUGGAUAGGAGUGAAAGGCUAAUCAAACCCGGAGAUAGCUGGUUCUCUUCGAAAACUAUUUAGGUAGUGCCUCGUGUAUUACCAUAGGGGGUAGAGCACUGUUUCGGCUAGGGGGUCAUCCCGACUUACCAAACCGAUGCAAACUCCGAAUACCUAUGAGUAUGAGCACGGGAGACAGACUGCGGGUGCUAACGUCCGUAGUCGAGAGGGAAACAACCCAGACUGUCAGCUAAGGUCCCUAAUUAUGGUUAAGUGGGAAACAAUGUGGGAAGGCACAAACAGCUAGGAGGUUGGCUUAGAAGCAGCCAUCCUUUAAAGAAAGCGUAAUAGCUCACUAGUACCAAGGGUUCCUGUCCAACGCUAAUCGAGGCAGGGUGAGGCGGCCCCUAAGGCGAGGGCGAAAGCCGUAGUCGAUGGGAAACAGGUUAAUAUUCCUGUACUUUUUAUAACUGCGAUGGGGUGACGGAGAAGGUUAGGCUAGCACGGCGUUGGUUGUCCGUGUUUAAGGUUGUAGGCUGGUUCUUUAGGUAAAUCCGGAGAACUAAGGCUGAGAGCUGAUGACGAUCACUAAUUUAGUGAGAAGUAGUCGAUACCAUGCUUCCAGGAAAAACCUCUAAGCUUCAGGUUAUAAGAAACCGUACCCUAAACCGACACAGGUGGUUAGGUCGAGUAGACCAAGGUGUUUGAGAGAACUAUGGUGAAGGAACUAGGCAAAAUGACACCGUAACUUCGGGAGAAGGUGUGCCAUGGUUAGUGAUGAGACUUGCUCUCUGAGCUGAACAUGGUCGAAGAUACCAGGUGGCUGCGACUGUUUAUUAAAAACAUAGCACUCUGCAAACUCGUAAGAGGAAGUAUAGGGUGUGACGCCUGCCCGGUGCCGGAAGGUUAAUUGAUGGGGUUAGCAUUUGCGAAGCUCUUGAUCGAAGCCCCGGUAAACGGCGGCCGUAACUAUAACGGUCCUAAGGUAGCGAAAUUCCUUGUCGGGUAAGUUCCGACCUGCACGAA
rnacentral:rRNA from 1 species